rnacentral:lncRNA from 1 species
UCAGAUUUCAUAAAUAAAAGAAAAAUUUCUUCAAACAUUUUUUGAGAGGAUUAAUAUUCAACAGCAUAGUGAAUUGCUCAAAGGCAAAAAAAUUUUAAGUUCAUUAGACCACAUUCAUUCUGUGUCAGAAACCUAUGCUGUGUCACCUAUUUAAUCACAAUCCAAAUUUAGAGCUGAAUCCAGCUUGAAUGUUGUGUCCAUACUUGCCCCA